CACCUGCCUUAUAAGCCUUUCAGUGAGGAGUAACUCGGAACUGAAACCCAGAAAAAAACUCAUUUUCUCUGCUCAUCUGCUACAAACGAGGGCCAGGUGCAUCCUGCAGGUAGACUCCCAGCUCGGGACCCCGCUUCUUGCCGGCAGGGCAUGCUGUCCCUCCCUGCUGUCCGCACAGAGAGCUGUAAGCUGAUGGCACAAGGCAUGCAGCUCGUGCUCCUCCGGGCAGCUCCAGAGGCAGGCGUGUGCUCCCCUUCGAAAACCGGCCACUCAUGACAGAGAGGGGCGGCAUAACGAAAAGGCGCUCUUAUCACCCUAAUUAGCAGCUUCCAGAGCAGUAGAUCUGUAUCGGGGCUUGCAAAAAUAGAGAGAUGCGUUUCAUCCCGACAGACACCGCUCCGGCUGGGCCAGCACGCUUUGAAGUCGCCAGGAAGACCAGGGACGGGCUGGGGCUCCUGGAGCAGCCCCUUUGAUCUGCGCGGUGGUGUCACCGGAGAAGCCCCUGCAUGAUUCGUGUCUCCAGAAACUUCCAGCACCUCCCGCGGCCACCGGCAGCUCCCCCUCCCUCAGUGGCUCCUCUGAGCAUGGGGGAGCCCCCAAUGAGGACAAAAUUCAGUUCCCUCCAGUCGUGGUCCCUCGCCCCCAAGCAGGAUGGGAUGGGUGCCACCAGCACAUGUCACCACCGUGCGAUCUUCCGGGGUGAUGAGUGCCGCAGCAGAGGCUGCUGAACUUCUCACCUCUGAGGCCGCCCGCUUUUAGGAACCGGGGCAGCGCCAUGCUCCUCUGCACAUUGCACAACCGGGGGUCUGACCGAGGGGCUUGUUUCCAGCGCUGGGGAAAAUGAAAAGAGAAGUCAAUACUGUGAAGGUUAAAGCAGUCCUCAAAGGCCAGAAACUCAGCGGCUUUAAAUCAAUGCGGCGGUAUUCACUGCAGGAAAGCAGAGCAAAGUUACGUCGGUUUAGUAUCUGGACUGAAAACAAUUCAAAUCAUAGAGUCACAGAAAUGAGAUGGGAAAGAAUGAUUAGAUCAUCUCCUCUGUCCCUCGGGGCAGGGCAGCCAGGCUAUACUGAGUGCUUUGUGCUGCGGCCAGCGAAGCCACGGCUGGUUCAGGCCCUGCUAAGGCUUUCCAUUUCUGUUUUCCUAGUGCUUCUGUUCUUUGACAAAUGUAUUUUGAGUGAAUAAUUUAUGCCUGGGAUAUUUAAAGAACAGAAACCUAAAUCCUCUAUUUACUGAAUUCACGCAGAGCUGGCUUUGAAGGAAACAGCUGCAAUGCCUCAUUUCCCAUUGCCUCCCCUCUGCUGACCUGCUCAGGACCUUCACCCCAGCCCAGGCAGAUCAUCCUCCCCGGGGGGAAGCGGCUAUUAGAGGAGUAGCCAAAAUCACUCACGAAUGACAGUGUUAAAAACGGUCUGCUCAACACGUUAGGAGUCCAGGAGCUCCAAAUAAUGCUGUCUGAUGCCAUCUGGUGAAUCCACAGGGGAUGGGUAAACAAUACCAAACUGAUUUCCCUGCCUACCAGAAGAACUUGGCUUGCGUUCACAUUCCCUUGGAGGUAAAUCAUUAUUAUUCUGAUUGCUAGCUCAGAUUCCACGAAGAGCAGAAGGAAAGGAAGGGAAGCAAUAAAGGGACCUCCUUUUGCGCCAUGGAUGCAGUGGAGAUCACACAGACAAGGUGCAAUAAUAAAAGUGACACGACUGGGGCUGCUCUUUUGAUGUGCCAGUGAAUCAUAAGCCUUGAUUUAAGCAAAGAGAUCUGCAUCUGCUCUACAGAUAAGCAAAGGGAGAAGAGUGGGUGAAAAAUCUACUGAUUUUUAAUAAGGGUAGGCAGCCUGAGGUACAUUUUGUUCUCAGUUAAACUUAUUGCAUAGUAAAGAAAAAAAAAAGUUUUUAAAAAAGUCGAAAAUUAGAUGCUGUAGAUCUAGUCAUUUGUAAAUUUUUUUAUUUUUUUUUUGGAGGGGAGGAAGGUCACUUAACCCAUACCUAAUAUCCAGAUGCUUUCCUUUUGUGAUCAGAUCUCUGUAUUACAUUAUAUGCAAACAUACAUUUUUCAAUCUACCAAAGCUGUAUAAUACUUUGAGAGAGAGAGAGAGUCUUAGCCCUGCACAAACCGAAGUGCGUAAGGACAGGCAGGCAGGUCUGUAGGUGUCCUGUCAGAUAAAUGGGUAGCCGCAGAGUUUUUAGAGGGUAAUGCGUAGCACAGCUUUCAUCCAUGUUCAUGUAAGAGGCAAUGGAGUUGGAAAGGUGGGUAGAAAUCAUUUCUUUACAGCACAGACAUGUUCAAGUGGGGUCACGUUUGAUGUUUACUCACUCCAUGGUUUCUGCCAUUACAGCCUUACUCAGGGGUGAGGUUCAUUCCCAGGGUCUGCUGCGGAGCAUUCCCACAUAGUUUGGCACAUCACUUGGCUCUUGUGCCUCAUUUCCUGUCCAAACUAAUUGCUUCUCCCUGACAGACCCACUGAUGCUGGCAGGUCUGAAAGCAGUGUCUCCUGCAAGCCUUGCACCUGAUGUACUGCUCCUGCGCGGCCAGGCCAGCACGUCCCAGACAGACCAGAAGGUGCAGGUGCAGAAGGGCUCUGCGCUGGUGACAGACCCCAUGGAGGACAGGGCCCAGCAGCUGCACGCCACCAGCCUUGCUCUCAGCAAGUGUGCAAGAGCACUUCUCCAGGCCUGCUGCCCGAAGCAGCGGAUGACAGAUUGCUGCCUAGCACAGUAGUCUGCCGUCAGAAGGAAAAGGGUUGUCAGGCAUGUCCUAUUUAGGGGAAGAAAAAUGCGGUGCCUAUAGACACGGGGACUGUGUGAGUCAUUAUGGGAGAUGAAGAAGGAAACAAAAUGUUCCUUAAACUUUGUGUCGUAUCACUGUGAGGGGGGGAAGGUCACUGUGCCCUUGCAGGGUCUAGGCAAGCAUCCACAGGACUGUUUUGGGGGACAAGGACUACAGGCAGCAUCCUGGAGGGCAAAGCCUAGGGAGAUGUGGGGACAGACAGUAAACUGCUGGGAAGGGGAUGUCUCUUCAGUGCAUGAAACAAAGUGCUCAGAAUGUGGGAGUCUUUUGGAAAACCCAGGAGAUAACGGGAAUAACCAGGAUGUGUGUGGCAGCAGGCCUGGGGCCCAGCAUGAGGAACUGGGGGGAGCAGCCAGGGCCAGGACUCAGUUGGGGAUCAGAAGGAUCAGAAUUGGGAUCAGGAUCAUGUGGGGAUCGUGUUGGGAUCAGGUCCCUUCUGCCCCACAGGGAGCCGGUCCAGGCAAAGGGCGAGGAGGGAGCCUGUCUUCCACUCCUGACUCUUGUUUGUUUUUAAACACCGGCUGCAUUUCCCAGCGAUUAUACUCAGGUUUGUACUCAUUAGCAGAAGUUAGCGCAGUAUCUUUGCUGUGAAGCUUGUGGAUUCGUAACUCACCAGCACAGCAGACGCUUCCUUAGCCAGAGGGUGUUUGGUUUGUGCAAUUCGUUAUAGGAAAUCUCCCUGGAUUUUCCCAGGUUUUGUGUGCUUUUUGUUUUACCGGUGGUUGCACUCAGCACUUCAAACCCUUCUUUGCUUUUGAUAUGUUUUGUGGCUCUGCUCCACAGCUCUCAAAGGCCAGCCGGGAGACAAAGGGAACCUCUGAGAUCAAAACGUUUUCAGCCAGCACAGCAGCUUACACGCCAUGCAGUCCGGCUGCAGGCUUGCUGGGAAGAAAAAUCUGUUUCUGAAAAUUUUGUAAGAGAAUUAAAUGGUUAAGGAUGUAA